UGCAGUCGAACGCUUCUUUUUCCACCGGAGCUUGCUCCACCGGAAAAAGAGGAGUGGCGAACGGGUGAGUAACACGUGGGUAACCUGCCCAUCAGAAGGGGAUAACACUUGGAAACAGGUGCUAAUACCGUAUAACAAUCAAAACCGCAUGGUUUUGAUUUGAAAGGCGCUUUCGGGUGUCGCUGAUGGAUGGACCCGCGGUGCAUUAGCUAGUUGGUGAGGUAACGGCUCACCAAGGCCACGAUGCAUAGCCGACCUGAGAGGGUGAUCGGCCACAUUGGGACUGAGACACGGCCCAAACUCCUACGGGAGGCAGCAGUAGGGAAUCUUCGGCAAUGGACGAAAGUCUGACCGAGCAACGCCGCGUGAGUGAAGAAGGUUUUCGGAUCGUAAAACUCUGUUGUUAGAGAAGAACAAGGAUGAGAGUAACUGUUCAUCCCUUGACGGUAUCUAACCAGAAAGCCACGGCUAACUACGUGCCAGCAGCCGCGGUAAUACGUAGGUGGCAAGCGUUGUCCGGAUUUAUUGGGCGUAAAGCGAGCGCAGGCGGUUUCUUAAGUCUGAUGUGAAAGCCCCCGGCUCAACCGGGGAGGGUCAUUGGAAACUGGGAGACUUGAGUGCAGAAGAGGAGAGUGGAAUUCCAUGUGUAGCGGUGAAAUGCGUAGAUAUAUGGAGGAACACCAGUGGCG
rnacentral:rRNA from 1 species